GCUUGCUGGUCAGAUAGGGAUCGCCGAUCCGCGCCAGCAGCGCGGGCGGAUAGCCGGGGCCGUCGUCGCGGAUCGUCACCGCCAGCCAGCC
rnacentral:tRNA from 1 species